UCUGGUUGAUCCUAAUUAGUUAUAUGCUUGUCUCAAAGAUUAAGCCAUGCAUGUAUAAGUAACACGAAUUAAAAUGAAACCGCAAAAGGCUCAUUAUAUCAGUUAUGGUUCCUUAGAUCGUUAACAGUUACUUGGAUAACUGUGGUAAUUCUAGAGCUAAUACAUGCAAUUAAAACAUGAACCUUAUGGGACAUGUGCUUUUAUUAGGCUAAAACCAAGCGAUCGCAAGAUCGUUAUAUUGGUUGAACUCUAGAUAACAUGCAGAUCGUAUGGUCUUGUACCGACGACAGAUCUUUCAAAUGUCUGCCCUAUCAAUUUUGAUGGUAUUCUAGGACUACCAUGGUUGCACGGGUAACGGGGAAUCAGGGUUCGAUUCCGGAGAGGAGGGAGAAACGGCUACCACAUAAGGCAGAAGGCAGCAGGCGCGUAAAUUACCACUCCCAGGGGGAUAUAGUGACGUAAUAAAUGAGUAGGAAAUCAUCCGAAGGAAAAUUGGAGUAACUUUAAAUCCUUUAACAAGGACAAUUCCAGCUCCAAUAGUAUAUUAAGUAGUGCGGUUAAACGUUUAGUUGAACUUGCUUAUACGGUAGUACAACUUACAAUUGUUUAGUACUAUACCUUUAUGUAUAAGGUAUUACCGUGGAGUUUAUAUAUGAUUAAACUUAUUUUUUAUGUUUCCUAUUUAAAAACCUGCAUUAGUGCUCUUAAACGAGUGUUAUUGUGGGCCGGUACUAUUACUUUGAACAAAUUAGAGUGCUUAAAGCAGGCUUCAAAUGCCUGAAUAUUCUGUGCAUGGGAUAAUGAAAUAAGACCUCUGUUCUGCUUUUCAUUGGUUUCAGAUCAGAGGUAAUGAUUAAUAGAAGCAGUUUGGGGGCAAUUAGUAUUACGACGCGAGAGGUGAAAUUCUUGGACCGUCGUAAGACUAACUUAAGCGAAAGCAUUUGCCAAAGAUGUUUUCAUUAAUCAAGAACGAAAGUUAGAGGUUCGAAGGCGAUCAGAUACCGCCCUAGUUCUAACCAUAAACGAUGCCAGCUAGCAAUUGGGUGUAGCUACUUUUAUGGCUCUCUCAGUCGCUUCCCGGGAAACCAAAGCUUUUGGGCUCCGGGGGAAGUAUGGUUGCAAAGCUGAAACUUAAAGGAAUUGACGGAAGGGCACCACCAGGAGUGGAGCCUGCGGCUUAAUUUGACUCAACACGGGAAAACUUACCAGGUCCGAACAUAAGUGUGUAAGACAGAUUGAUAGCUCUUUCUCGAAUCUAUGGGUGGUGUGCAUGGCCGUUCUUAGUUCGUGGAGUGAUUUGUCUGGUUAAUUCCGAUAACGAACGAGACUCAAAUAUAUUAAAUAGAUAUCUUCAGGAUUAUGGUGCUGAAGCUUAUGUAGCCUUCAUUCAUGUUGGCAGUAAAAUGCUUAUUGUGUUGAAUGUGUUUAUGUAAGUGGAGCCGUACCUGUUGGUUUGUCCCAUUAUAAGGACACUAGCUUCUUAAAUGGACAAAUUGCGUCUAGCAAUAAUGAGAUUGAGCAAUAACAGGUCUGUGAUGCCCUUAGAUGUCCUGGGCUGCACGCGCGCUACAAUGAAAGUAUCAACGUGUAUUUCCUAGACCGAGAGGUCCGGGUAAACCGCUGAACCACUUUCAUGCUUGGGAUUGUGAACUGAAACUGUUCACAUGAACUUGGAAUUCCCAGUAAGUGUGAGUCAUUAACUCGCAUUGAUUACGUCCCUGCCCUUUGUACACACCGCCCGUCGCUACUACCGAUUGAAUUAUUUAGUGAGGUCUCCGGACGUGAUCACUGUGACGCCUUGCGUGUUACGGUUGUUUCGCAAAAGUUGACCGAACUUGAUUAUUUAGAGGAAGUAAAAGUCGUAACAAGGUUUCCGUAGGUGAACCUGCGGAAG
rnacentral:rRNA from 1 species